rnacentral:rRNA from 1 species
UACGGAGGAUGCAAGCGUUAUCCGGAAUGAUUGGGCGUAAAGCGUCCUCAGGUGGCUAUGUAAGUCUGCUGUUAAAGAGUGAGGCUCAACCUCAUAAAAGCAGUGGAAACUACAUGGCUAGAGUGCGUUCGGGGCAGAGGGAAUUCCUGGUGUAGCGGCGAAAUGCGUAGAGAUCAGGAAGAACACCGGUGGCGAAGGCGGCUCUCUGGGACGGUACUGACGCUGAGACGCGAAAGCGUGGGGAGCGAACAGG